rnacentral:lncRNA from 1 species
UAGAUCUGUAACUCACAUUUCUAUGUGAAUUUGGUCGCGAUCGCCCCCAAAAAAGUUACUGUAUUGCCUCUUCUUUAAAGCCUGGUUGUCGCUGUAAGGACACCUAUUGGCAUUAUUGGUUUUAAUGAGGUCUCAAGCAAACCCUUGUGGCGUUGCUGUCAAACUGCACAGUUACAGAAAAAUCCAUGCUAUACUGCUGUACUUUCAGAAGUUGUUUUACUGAAAAAAUAUUGUAGAAAAUAUUAUGUACAUCGACAAACUAAUUAUAUGAAUAUAAAACUUGUUUUUAUCAUGUCAAAAGUAUUUAGAAAAAUUGCAAUUACAUACACUGAGUGGACAAAACAUUAAGAACACCUUCCUAAUAUUGAGUUUUCUCCCCCUCUUGCCGUCAGAACAGCCUCAACUAGUCGGGACAUGGACUCUACAAGGUGUCUAAAGCGUUCGACAGGGACGCUGGCCCAUGUUGACUCUAAUACUUCCUACAGUUGUGUCAAAUUGGCUGGAUGUCCUUUUGAUACAGACAGGAAACUGUUGAGAGUGAAAAACCCAAGCACCCCAUUCAAAGACACUUACAUUUUGGUCUUUGCCCAUUCAGCCUCUGAAUCCAUGUCUCAAUAGAGGCCCCACAGCGGAGGUGUCAUAAUACCCAUAAAGCCUAGCGGUCGAACAAGGAAAUGGUUCCAUUCAGAGAUUUUAGAAACGUUUACACAAGGGGAAUAUAUUGAUCCAAGUCACCUUUGUCUUAGAGAGAGAUUUACACAGUUAUCAAAACGUCACGCCAGGGUAAACCUACACGAAACACAGUCCUUAUUUUAAGUAUUUCUAAAAUCCCCUACGUGGAAAAAGGAAUGUUGGAACCGUUUUCCUAUUUGACCGCUAGGUUUUAUGGGUAUUAUACUGUGGUACUCUAUUGUCUCAAGGCUUUAAAAAAAAAAAAUCUUUAAAAAGUGAUGUCAAUAAGGGAUCAGAGCUUUCACCUGGAUUCACCUGGAUUCACCUGGUCGGUCAGUCUAUGUGAUGGAAAAGAGCAGGUGUUCUUAAUGUUUUGUCCACUUAGUGUAUGUUCAUAGAGAUGUGUUUGUGUCUAGUCAGCCAGUUCAGCCAGUAAUCUGAUCCUCUUCAUCAGCGAUGUGUUUGUGUCUAGUCAGCCAGUUCAGCCAGUAGUCUGAUCCUCUUCAUCGACGGUGUGUUUGUGUCUAGUCAGCCAGUUCAGCCAGUAGUCUGAUCCUCUUCAUCGACGGUGUGUUUGUGUCUAGUCAGCCAGUUCAGCCAGUAGUCUGAUCCUCUUCAUCAGCGGUGUGUUUGUGUCUAGUCAGCCAGUUCAGCCAGUAAUCUGAUCCUCUUCAUCAGCGGUGUGUUUGUGUCUAGUCAGCCAGUUCAGCCAGUAGUCUGAUCCUCGUGUGUUUGUGUCUAGUCAGCCAGUUCAGCCAGUAGUCUGAUCCUCUUCAUCGACGGUGUGUUUGUGUCUAGUCAGCCAGUUCAGCCAGUAGUCUGAUCCUCUUCAUCAGAGAUGUGUUUGUGUCUAGUCAGCCAGUUCAGCCAGUAGUCUGAUCCUCUUCAUCGACGGUGUGUUUGUGUCUAGUCAGCCAGUUCAGCCAGUAAUCUGAUCCUCUUCAUCGACGGUGUGUUUGUGUCUAGUCAGCCAGUUCAGCCAGUAGUCUGAUCCUCUUCAUCAGCGGUGUGUUUGUGUCUAGUCAGCCAGUUCAGCCAGUAGUCUGAUCCUCUUCAUCGACGGUGUGUUUGUGUCUAGUCAGCCAGUUCAGCCAGUAGUCUGAUCCUCUUCAUCAGAGAUGUGUUUGUGUCUAGUCAGCCAGUUCAGCCAGUAGUCUGAUCCUCUUCAUCGACGGUGUGUUUGUGUCUAGUCAGCCAGUUCAGCCAGUAGUCUGAUCCUCUUCAUCGACGGUGUGUUUGUGUCUAGUCAGCCAGUUCAGCCAGUAGUCUGAUCCUCGUGUGUUUGUGUCUAGUCAGCCAGUUCAGCCAGUAGUCUGAUCCUCGUGUGUUUGUGUCUAGUCAGCCAGUUCAGCCAGUAGUCUGAUCCUCUUCAUCAGCGAUGUGUUUGUGUCUAGUCAGCCAGUUCAGCCAGUAGUCUGAUCCUCUUCAUCGACGGUGUGUUUGUGUCUAGUCAGCCAGUUCAGCCAGUAGUCUGAUCCUCUUCAUCGACGGUGUGUUUGUGUCUAGUCAGCCAGUUCAGCCAGUAGUCUGAUCCUCUUCAUCAGCGAUGUGUUUGUGUCUAGUCAGCCAGUUCAGCCAGUAGUCUGAUCCUCUUCAUCGACGGUGUGUUUGUGUCUAGUCAGCCAGUUCAGCCAGUAGUCUGAUCCUCUCCAGCAGCUCAGAGAAAGAAGGGCGGCCCUGUG